AACGCAAAUUGCGCCCUUUGGUAUUCCGAAGGGCAUGCCUGUUUGAGUGUCUUAUAAACCUCCAAUUAUAGUUUAUUCUAUAGUUGGCUUUGGGUGCUGCCAGCGAUGGCUCGCCUUAAAUGUCUAAGUGGAAUGCAUAAUAAGUUCUUGCAACCCUCCACUCUAACACACUUUAUAUUCUGACCUCAAAUCAGGUAGGACUACCCGCUGAACUUAA
rnacentral:misc_RNA from 1 species